rnacentral:lncRNA from 13 species
GUUAGCUUAAAGAUAAGACAGAAAUCUGUGGAAAGCUUGAUAUACUGCCAUUAAAUGUUCAAUUUGAUCAAUGUUUUCCUGCAUGUGUAUGCCACAUCUUCCAUUAUCCAUUGGCCUUUUUAGAAUAUUGUAUGGAAUAGAAAAAUAGCUUGUCAGAUGUCUAAAAUGUUGUCAUUUCUGCACUUCAUCAUCUUGAGACACUACCGCAGAUUGUAUAUUUAUGUACACAAAUGCAAUUUAUGUAUAUUUGCCUUUAUUGUAACUUAUGAACCAAUGAGCUGAAGUUCUGAAAUGCGUUAAUAUAAAUGUAUAUUACUCAACAUGUGGUGCAGUGAUGUGUUCAAUCGAGCAAGAAUAAAAUGCAAAACGUAUACACAUUAGGUAGUUUGUUAAAAAAAAAACUUUAUUGCCAUUUCACUAUCGAUUAUACACUUAAAACCUAUAAGAGCAACAAUUUAAGACUACUUCCAUUUUAAUUAAAUACAAAAACAAUGCAUCAGAAUUAUCGACAUUCUGCUACAGUACGCAAGAUGGGAGUAUUAUUAAACCAAUGACUUAAACAUAUUUUAGUAAUGCAAACUUUAUUACAAAAACAAUUACUUCAUGCCAUGCUCCUUGCUUUACUUCGAGAACAGAAUCAAUCCUUCAAGUUUUACAAGUCUUAACUUCAUAGAUGGAAACACAAAAUAGCAAGUUUAGCAAACAGUCGUAUGAACUGACAGGGCCUGAAAACAGGGUCGGAGAAGAGACAUGUCAUGGUUUGACUAUGAAAUUCAAAACCUUAAAAAAAAAAAAAAAAGCUAGAUUAAGUAACACAUAUUACAGCAUUCUGCACAUGGAAACUGUACACUGUAACCCUAACUUGACACUUAAAAGCAUUGAGUGGUUAGCAUCCAUGAGUAUAUACACACACAAUUGUGCCACGAUACUCAACAAAAAAAAUUGUCCACUUACAGAAUAUUAUACAAUGAGACAGGUGCUUUUUCAAUUUACACAGAAGAGGGGGUUACCCAGAAAAAGAAAGCCAGGAUAA